rnacentral:rRNA from 1 species
UACGUAGGUGGCGAGCGUUGUCCGGAUUUACUGGGCGUAGAGGGAGCAUAGGCGGACUUUUAAGUGAGAUGUGAAAUACCCGGACUCAACUUGGGUGCUGCAUUUCAAACUGGAAGUCUAGAGUGCAGGAGAGGAGAAUGGAAUUCCUAGUGUAGCGGUGAAAUGCGUAGAGAUUAGGAAGAACACCAGUGGCGAAGGCGAUUCUCUGGACUGUAACUGACGCUGAGGCUCGAAAGCGUGGGGAGCAAACAGGAUUAGAUA